rnacentral:misc_RNA from 1 species
CAUGCCAAGCUUUUAUCAGGAACCCCCUCCUCCCCAGGUGGAGUUGAAGAAGAUACCAACAACAAGAGCUAAAUCCCCCAAGCUUGGCCGGAGAAAGAGCUCCCCCACCAAAGAGGCAGACCAUACUUCCAUGCACACAAGUAGGUUGAGCUUGGAUAAAAAUGUAUCUCAAAAUCCUGCUAAAGGACAUCCUCCAGAAAAUGUCAAGAAGCCUACACGGAGAUCUCUUCCAAAGCUGCCAUCUCAAAAAAUCAACUUAUUAAGUAAUACAAAAAAGCCUUCCCCCAUCAAAACGAGCAUAUCCCAGGAAACAAAUGAAGCUGCAUCUAACAACAUGAGUGCAGUUGCUUCUCAACCAAACAACGUAUCUGAGCAAACAAAUGAAAUCGUAACAUUUGUUCAAAAGCAUGACGCUACAUCUGUCGUUGAAACAAGCCAGAGUAAGACUUUUGUUGAAGCUCAAUCCGAGACUAAUGUGGUGCAG